AGCGAACGCUGGCGGCAGGCCUAACACAUGCAAGUCGAACGAACUCUUCGGAGUUAGUGGCGGACGGGUGAGUAACACGUGGGAACGUGCCUUUAGGUUCGGAAUAACUCAGGGAAACUUGUGCUAAUACCGAAUGUGCCCUUCGGGGGAAAGAUUUAUUGCCUUUAGAGCGGCCCGCGUCUGUUUAGCUGGUUGGUGAGGUAAAGGCGCACCAAGGCGACGAUCAGUAGCUGGUCUGAGAGGAUGAUCAGCCACAUUGGGACUGAGACACGGCCCAAACUCCUACGGGAGGCAGCAGUGGGGAAUCUUGCGCAAUGGGCGAAAGCCUGACGCAGCCAUGCCGCGUGAAUGAUGAAGGUCUUAGGAUUGUAAAAUUCUUUCACCGGGGACGAUAAUGACGGUACCCGGAGAAGAAGCCCCGGCUAACUUCGUG
rnacentral:rRNA from 1 species